rfam:Oryza sativa Japonica Group DNA, chromosome 6, cultivar: Nipponbare, complete sequence.
UCUAAGUUUAUCAUUAGUUUCCGUGCUAAAGUUUGAUCGUCCAUCUUAUUUAAAAUUUUCCUGUAAUUAGUAAUUUUGUUGUUAUGAGAUAAUAAAACAUGAAUAGUUAUUUUAUACGUGACUUAUAUUUUUUCAAUUUUUUUAAUUUUUCUUUAAAUAAGACGGAUGAUUAAAGUUAAGCACGGAUGAAUAUGGCUGCACUUAAA